rnacentral:rRNA from 1 species
CGAGCCUACGGGACGCAGCAGUAGGGAAUCUUCCACAAUGGGCGAAAGCCUGAUGGAGCAACGCCGCGUGGGGGAAGAAGGUCUUCGGAUCGUAAAACCCUGUUGUUAGAGAAGAAAGAGCGUGAGAGUAACUGUUCACGUUUCGACGGUAUCUAACCAGAAAGCCACGGCUAACUACGUGCCAGCAGCCGCGGUAAUACGUAGGUGGCAAGCGUUAUCCGGAUUUAUUGGGCGUAAAGGGAACGCAGGCGGUCUUUUAAGGCUGAUGUGGAAGCCUUCGGCUUAACCG